CUUGUAAUAUUUAGAGGAGUGGUCAUUGUAGCCAACCUUCGGGUUUGGAUUUAUAGCACCCUUCGAGGUAUUUAUAAAUAUACAGAUAUACCUUGGAAAAUAUUGUGUGUUGGUUUAAUAUUUUUAUAUCUUCAGAAAUCGACCCUACAUAUAUCCGGAACAUGAAACCCAUUACAGGACUGCAAUUUAUUUAUCCGCAAGAUUGGAAAGAAUUUUAAAUUGUAGUGAGUAUCGUAUUCAACCCCCCUUCUAUGAUACUUUGGACCUAACAAUUGGCAUCAGAGCAGGCUGAUUGAUAUACAAAUCAGGAUCCUUAUCGUACGGAAAAUCAAGAACCUAGCCUUCGAUAUUUGAUUAGGGGAAAUGUUCUUCUGGUUUGUGUUGCU
rnacentral:lncRNA from 1 species